rnacentral:rRNA from 1 species
CGGGGUGCAGCAGGCGCGAAAACUCUACAAUGCAGGCAACUGCGAUAGGGGGACAUCGAGUGGCAUCCACCUUGGGUGCCUGUCCCACCGUCUAAAAAACGGUGGUUAGCAAGGGCCGGGCAAGACCGGUGCCAGCCGCCGCGGUAAUACCGGCGGCUCGAGUGGUGGCCGAUAUUAUUGAGUCUAAAGGGUCCGUAGCCGGCUUUGCAAGUCCCCUGGGAAAUCCAGCGGCUUAACCGUUGGGCUUUCAUGGGAUACUACAUUGCUUGGGACUGGGAGAGGUAGGAGGUACUCGGGGGGUAGGGGUGAAAUCCUGUAAUCCCCCGGGGACCACCGGUGGCGAAGGCGUCCUACCAGAACAGGUCCGACGGUGAGGGACGAAAGCUAGGGGCACGAACCGGAUUAGAUACCCGGGUAGUCCUAGCCGUAAACGAUGCCCGCUAGGUGUCACGGCGGUCGUGAAUCGCCGUGGUGCCGUAGGGAAGCCGCGAAGCGGGCCACUUGGGAAGUACGGCCGCAAGGCUGAAACUUAAAGGAAUUGGCGGGGGAGCAAAGGGCGAAUCGCG